UAAUAAUAAAUUAACAUGCAUAAAAAGUGUUUCAGUUAUGUCUUUUUUUUUUUUUGUUAACAUCUCUCAAAGGAUAAAAAUGACGAUUUAUCUUCUACUUGGCAGUAAUAAUCUUAUGACAGAAAGUUUUGUAGACCAAUAUUCAUUUGCCAGAAUAACUUGAGAUUUUUCUUUACUUUGCACACAAGCUGUUUGAUAGAAUGUCUACUUCAUAGAUCACUAAAUUCUCACCAAUAUUGGUAUGAACCUAGGAGUCAGGUUUGAUUUAUUGAUCGCGUGGCAAAAUAACUAAGAUCUUUCAGGUAUAUGUCUUGAAACUUGAAAGUUAGAAGUGUUGGUGCCAAUGAAGAGAAGCAAUACCCAGACACCAAAACUAUUGUGGAACCAACAAAUGGUUCAUCUGGUAAGUAAAUUAUGUUUUAGUUCCAAAGAAAAUAAUGGAAUGUUUGAAUUAAGUAUUUUUACAUUAAAGUUGUAGUUUCUUGAUUUCACAUUAACGUUGGAUUCUUCUUAAAAGCAUUUUUCAUGCCAAUUUUCAUUAUGUUAAAUGAUGGUAUUCUUUGCUGAGUUGAAAGGUUAGUAUUUCUGUAUAUAAGGAUGGAUGCUUAUGUGAUUGUGGAAAAGAGUACUUAUACUAUAGCUUUAUAAGGGUCUCCGGCAUACAAUUGAUUUUAACAUGUUUGAGUAUUCUUCGGUAUAAUUGAUUUUGCAUCCAGAAUUGAUUAUAACUCGAAGUUAGAAUUUGAAACUUUUGCCUUCCAAAUUGAUUCUUUUAUUGAAUAUUGGAAACCUUUCAGAUUAUAGGAAAAGAAAGCAUAAUAUAUUGGAAAACAAUUAGUUGCUCUCCAAUAUUUGUUUUUUCAGAAGAAGAAAAAAAGUUAUUUCAUAUUAUUAAAAUAUAGUAUCAAACAUAGAUAAACAUAACCUUGAAUAUGACAACUUGUUAUAGAUAUGACCACCAUACUAGAGAACGACACCAAAUUAGAACACAUCUUAAUUAUGAUUUUGAUACUAUCCACUACCAACUUAAAAUCAAAUUAAAAAAUUACAUGAUCCAUUUCUGCGACCCACCCCAAUUUCAACGCAAAUAGGAGAGUUCAAGCAUUUCCUUCAUGAACCAGUAGGAGUGUCUGAUGUGAGUUUGUCAAUGCUUGAACAAGAUGCCCUGAACCGUCCCUGGAGCACCUUCUAUCCCAUGGCAAGGGUUAUCAAACUUUGAGUUUUCUAUUUUUGGAUUGAAAAGGAUGCGUAAUUUAAAAACUUAGGCGGGGUUUGUGCAAUUUUACGAAGGAACUGCAACGUAAUUGAUGGUAAAUUAAGUACACAACACUGUCUUCUCUUCACAUCAAAGUAUCUAAGAGUGUUACUCAGUCGUUGUCCCAAAUAACCAUUAACAUGACAUUGCACAAAAGAAAAUCAAGCAAUACCAGUCUAAUAUUUCCAAUACCCUUGUUAGUUAAAGUUUCUAGCAGCAAUAUGCAGCUCAUAUAGACAGCAACAUUGUAUUGUAUCAACCAAAGACUACAAGAAGAAAGCUUCUACUGUCACAAACUAAAGAAAGAAGUGGCUGAUUGAUUUACCAUUGAGCUGUAGUUUUUCUGAUGGUACACAACCCCAAAUCAUGGCCCCAAGACGGCCAUUGCCGAUGGGGAUGGCAUCGACCCAGUACUCUGCAGGCUCAGAAAAAGUAACCUUCAAUGGCCUUGGAGUUUCAUCAUCAGCAUUUGGUAAACUUGACGGGGCCAGACAAAAAAGUUUGGGAUGGCCGCCAUCAAAAUAAACUAAAAUAUAUAAAUCAUAUUGUUUACAACACACUUAAGUUGUAAUAAACAUAAAGUCAAUUAUGAUGUUGUAUUCAAUAACGGCAAUUUCAUAUAUGGAAUCAUGUAGUCGGAUUAGAGAUAGAACAGAGAGCAUUUCAAAUAGGAAAUCACCUAAAUGCAAAGAAUAAAGCUAGAGUAAACGGUGAUAUCACCCCUUGUCCAAAUAGGAAAACCUCGCCCAAUCUCCACUAACAUAAAGAGCAGCUACCAGGACACCAAGAUAGCACAUAAAGAAACAAAUCCUUAACUGUCUUACUGCACUUGAAUUGCUCCUAGGAGAGACAAAAACAAACACGAUAAGCCCUCCAUCUCAAUUUUGAAACAACCAAAAUAUCGACCACAAAUCUAAGCUACACAACAACCAAACUCCAGAAGAUUCUAUCAUUCGGAAGCUGCUAAUAAUCACCACACAGUCCAAAAGCAAAAAAACCAAAACAGAAUACUACCAAAAAUGCUGCAAACCCAACACACUGAUGAGAUAUGACACAAAACCAAGAGAAAUAACAAAAGAAAUGCAUUAGAAACUAGGGAACAUAUACAACCAUUGAUUGCUAGCUAAGAAUCCAUCCAAUCUAGCUUUUAUGUGAUGAAAAUAUCCCCAAUAUAGCCCAAACCAGUUAAGCCACACUGUUGGAUAGUGUCUUUGAACCGGUUUGUAAUACUACUGUCAGCAAGAUUACCUCCAUUUUUUUUUUCAGCUUGACCCAAAAUCAAAUCGAAAUCACCAAAAACUAACAACCUAUUUCUAGAAUUAUCCCUGUAUAUCUGACUAAAAAGAUCACAAGCAAGUUAUUAAAAAAAAGCACAUUGUCUAAGAACACAAAACAAAGAGUAGUAAACAAUCCAUAAUAAUUAGAAUCAAGCUAAGAAUUAGAGCUGUUAGUAAAAAAUUGAUCAAUUAACCCUCAUAUUAGUAAAAAAUCCAUCUGAUAAUACAAGAAAAACAUGAGAUAGAAUUAGAGCUGUUAGUCACUGAGUCACAUAAGAUUCUGAUUCCUCAAAUUAACCCUCACUUUAGCAAAUUAAAAAGGGAAAAAUUAAGCCAGAAUUAGAAACAAUUAAAAUUGGCUUAAUUAAACCUUUGGUCCUCUAACUUAUUUGUUGUUUUCAUUUUGGUCCCAUAACUUUAAAAUUUUCCUUUUUGGUCCCUCAAAUAUGCUCCGUCAGUCAAAUUGAUCCAAGUCUGUUAACUUUUAACUCCAAAUGUCUAUGGUGGACCAACAUUAUAAUGGUCCACCGUAGAUCUUAUUAAUUUUGUUAAUUUUGACCCCUUGAUUUUUUUAUCAUAAAGGAGACCAUUAGAUCAUGUAGAUCCAUUAUAUCUUAUGAUGUACCGUCUAUAACAAAUUUAUUUACCAAUCCUUCUUCUUCUUCCUCCCUAAUCGCCAUAUCAUAUUCAUCAUCAUAUCAUCUUAAGAUCUAAACCCAGAAAUCAUAAAACAUAAAUCUAUCAAAAUCCACAAAUCAGUAAUCACAAAACACACAUAAAAGCUUUCUCUUUCAUACACACUGCAAUUUCUAAGAUUCAAAAUUUUCCCUUUCAAAAUCAAAAUCCAUAAAAGCUUUCCCUUACAUCUGACAACAAUCGAAAUCCAUAAAAACUUUCCCUUUCACGCGUAUAACCCAUACACUUCUUGAAUUCACCCAAAUCCCUAAUCGCUCAUGGAUUUCUAUCAACCUUUUAACCUCAGAUUGACGCCUCAUAUUAAACCCAUAUUCAAUUCUCCAGCUGCAUUCACAAAACCGCUUCCCAUGUUAAAAGAAGUAGGUGGAGUUUGGCUUAGAUCUGGAAAGGCAUAUGGUUGCUGAGCCAUUAUUGGUCCACCACUCUUGUCAUUCUGAGAUGCAGUAGUUGAAAGUGCAUAACCAAUGGCAGCGGGACUGAAAUUUGGAAAUUUUUGCUUAAUUAGCGCAACAAGACCUGUAAUAUGUCGCGUCUCCCUUUUUGUUUUUGAUUUGGAUUCAACUUUUGAUUUAGAUACAAGGUUUGUAUUUUGUUGUUGAUUUUGAGUUGGAUUCUUCAUCUUUUGUGUUUCAUGAUUGAUUCUGCGUUUGGAUUUAAUCUAAGAAGGAGAAGUUUGGGAUGUUGUUGAUUUGGAUUUUGUAGAUUAUGAAUUAACUAUUUGGAUUUGAUGGAAA